GGGCAUCCACAGGGGUGCCGCGUAUCGCCGCGGCUGAGAUGAGGGUGCAAAUCCUCGGGCCCUAGAAGCUGAUCUGGGUAAUGCCAGCGGAGCAAGGAGGACAAUCAUGUUCG
rnacentral:ncRNA from 2 species